rnacentral:miRNA from 1 species
CUGGGAGUAGAAGGGGGAAACCA